GUCGAGGGGCAGCACAGGUAGCAAUACUGGGUGGCGACCGGCGCACGGGUGCGUAACACGUAUACAAUCUGCCCAUAUCAGGAGAAUAGCCCGGAGAAAUUCGGAUUAAUGCUCCAUAACAUAGUGAACUGGCAUCAGUUUAUUAUUAAAGUUUCGACGGAUAUGGAUGAGUAUGCGGAUGAUUAGCUAGUUGGUAGUGUAAUGGACUACCAAGGCUACGAUCAAUAGGGGUACUGAGAGGUUAAACCCCCACACUGGUACUGAGACACGGAUCAGACUCCUACGGGAGGCAGCAGUAAGGAAUAUUGGACAAUGGUGGCAACACUGAUCCAGCCAUGCCGCGUGCAGGAUGAAGGCGCUACGCGUUGUAAACUGCUUUUGUACGGGAGAAAACCUAUCUACGUGUAGAUAGCUGAUAGUACCGUAAGAAUAAGCAUCGGCUAACUUCGUGCCAGCAGCCGCGGUAAUACGAAGGAUGCAAGCGUUAUCCGGAUUUAUUGGGUUUAAAGGGUGCGUAGGCGGACUUAUAAGUCAGUGGUGAAAUCUCGAUGCUUAACAUCGAACGUGCCAUUGAUACUGUAGGUCUUGAGUACAGAUGCCGUUGGCGGAAUGUGUCAUGUAGCGGUGAAAUGCAUAGAUAUGACACAGAACACCGAUUGCGAAGGCAGCUGACG
rnacentral:rRNA from 1 species